ACCUACUUAACUCAGUGGUUAGAGUACCGCUUUCAUACGGCGGUAGUCAUUGGUUCAAAUCCAAUAGUAGGUA
rnacentral:tRNA from 1 species